AAACGAGAUCGAGCUGUUGAAAACUCGGCUCGUUAGAUAAACGAGCCUAGCAUUUUAGAAUUCUCUUCUUAAACACUGUUUUCUAUGGCUCUUAUCACCCAUUGAACUUGGGCGUUGACCCAAAAGUCCAAUUCUUCUUUUGGACCAAAUACAAUAAAUUCGUAGAAAAUGAAUGCCAUACAUUUUUUGGGCUAUAAAAGGGUGAACCCUACUUGCCAUUUCCUUAUACUCAGAAAAAAUGGGUUUUAGUAAGCUUUUUGUUGUUUUGCAAGUGCUUUUGAUCUCUAUCAUUCUCUUGGUUUCUCAGGUGGCUGCUCGGCAACUGGUCGAGACUUCCAACGCUUUAAAUCCUUACCAUAAGAUGGACAGAGAGCUGAUCACGGGCAAUAAACCGGAUAAUCCAUGGCCCCACAAUCCCUAGACAUGGAUGAUUUGCCUCAACAACUCGAGCUCAAUUCGAGAAAAAAGGGAUUGACUUGGUGAUUAAGAUGUCCCAAGACGAUGCUCGCACUUGAAUCUCACUAAUGCAAGCUAGCUACUAUUUUUUUUUUCUUUUCAAUUCUCCUCCUAUCAGUUGUAAGAACGGCGAAUUAAAAUAAUGUUCUUUGUGAACUGUUGCGAAAC